AAGAGAUAGGGUCUUCAUGGCCCGACCUCCAACCCUCUGUUGUUAUAACUACCUUGUUGCUUUGGCGGGACCGUCUCGGUCUCCGAGCGCACUAACCCUCGGGUUGGUGAGCGCCCGCCAGAGUCCAACCAAACUCUUGUAUUAAACCAGUCGUCUGAGUAUAAAAUUUUAAUUAAAUUA
rnacentral:misc_RNA from 2 species